AUACAGAGGGUGCAAGCGUUAAUCGGAAUUACUGGGCGUAAAGCGCGCGUAGGUGGUUAGUUAAGUUGGAUGUGAAAGCCCUGGGCUAAACCUGGGAAUGGCAUUCAAAACUGGCUGACUAGAGUAUGGUAGAGGGAAGGGGAAUUCCAGGUGUAGCGGUGAAAUGCGUAGAUAUCUGGAGGAACAUCAGUGGCGAAGGCGCCUUCCUGGACUAAUACUGACACUGAGGUGCGAAAGCGUGGGUAGCAAACAGGAUUAGAAACCCUAGUAGUCC
rnacentral:rRNA from 1 species